UGAGUACGAGAUGCUACGGCAUCGAAGCAGUCUAUGUCAUACUUCCAAGAAAAGCUUGCAAUGUCAUAAACAAAUAAUGCCUGUACCAUAACCGACACAGGUGGGUAGGUAGAGUAUACUAAGGGGCGCGAGAUAACUCUCUCUAAGGAACUCGGCAAAAUGACUCCGUAACUUCGGGAGAAGGAGUGCCUUAUUUUUAUAAGGUUGCAAUAACAAGAUCCAAGCAACUGUUUAUCAAAAACACAGGUCUCCGCUAAGUCGUAAGACGAUGUAUGGGGGCUGACGCCUGCCCAGUGCCAGAAGGUUAAAGAAGUUGGUUAGCAUUAGCGAAGCUGAUAACUGAAGCCCUGGUGAACGGCGGCCGUAACUAUAACGGUCCUAAGGUAGCGAAAUUCCUUGUCGGGUAAGUUCCGACCCGCACGAAAGGCGUAAUGAUUUGGAUACUGUCUCGGAGAGGGGCUCGGUGAAAUAGACUUGUCUGUGAAGAUGCGGACUACCUGCACCUGGACAGAAAGGCCCUAUGAAGCUUUACUGUAACUUGAGAUUGAAAUUGGACUUUAUCUGCGCAGUAUAGGUGGGAGACGUUGAAAAUAUUCUUGCGGGAAUAUUGGAGUCAUCAGUGAGAUACCACUCUUAUAAUGUUAGAUUUCUAACUUUGUAUCAUUAUCUGGUCAAAGAACAGUUUCAGGCGGGCAGUUUGACUGGGGCGGUCGCCUCCCAAACGGUAACGGAGGCGCACAAAGGUUUCCUCUGAACGUGUAGAAAUCGUAUCUAGAGUGUAAAGGCAUAAGGAAGCUUGACUGUGAGACCUACAAGUCGAGCAGGGACGAAAGUCGGUCUUAGUGAUCUGACGGUGCUGAGUGGAAAGGCCGUCACUCAACGGAUAAAAGUUACUCUAAGGAUAACAGGCUGAUCUCCCCCAAGAGUUCACAUCGACGGGGAGGUUUGGCACCUUGAUGUCGGCUCAUCGCAUCCUGGGGCGGUAGUACGUCCCAAGGGUUGGGCUGUUCGCCCAUGAAAGCGGUACGCGAGCUGGGUUCAGAACGUCGUGAGACAGUUCGGUCCAUAUCCGGUGUAGGCGUUAGAAUAUUGAGAGGAGCCUUCUUUAGUACGAGAGGACCGAGAAGGACAUACCUCUGGUGUACCAGUUAUCGUGCCAACGGUAAACGCUGGGUAGCCAUGUAUGGAGAGGAUAACCGCUGAAAGCAUCUAAGUGGGAAGCCCACCUCAAGAUAAGUAUUCU
rnacentral:rRNA from 1 species